AUACGUAGGGAGCGAGCGUUGUCCGGAAUUACUGGGUGUAAAGGGUGCGUAGGCGGGACUGCAAGUCAGAUGUGAAAUGCCGGGGCUCAACCCCGGAGCUGCAUUUGAAACUGUGGUUCUUGAGUGAGGUAGAGGUAAGCGGAAUUCCUAGUGUAGCGGUGAAAUGCGUAGAUAUUAGGAGGAACAUCGGUGGCGAAGGCGGCUUACUGGGCCUUUACUGACGCUGAGGCACGAAAGCGUGGGGAGCAAACAGGAUUAGAUGCCCUGGUAGUCCACGCUGUAAACGAUGAUGACUAGGUGUGGGGGGACUGAACCCUUCCGUGCCGCAGUUAACACAAUAAGUCAUCCACCUGGGGAGUACGGCCUCAAGGUUGAAACUCAAAUGAAUGGACGGGG
rnacentral:rRNA from 1 species